GGGCGGUUAGCUCAGAGGGAGAGCGCUACCUUCACACGGUAGAAGUCACUGGUUCGAUCCCAGUACCGCCCACCA
rnacentral:tRNA from 1 species